GACAACGCUAGUUGCCAAGACCUAUAAGGAUGAAACUGUGAAGUCCCAUUUUGAAUGCUAUGCAUGGAUUAAUGUUUCUCAGACAUACACGAGAGAUGAUUUACUCAGAAGCUUAAUCAAAGAAUUCCACAAGACAAGGAAGGAACAAGUUCCUGAUGAUUUGUGUACAAAGGGCUUCAACGACCUUGUGGAAUUUCUUAUUGGGUACUUGAAGGAGAAAAAAUAUCUAGUUGUCUUGGACGAUGUGUGGGAUAUAAAUUUAUGGGAGGCAAUAAAGGUAUCACUUCCAAAUAAUGAGCUUGGAAGUCGGAUUAUGCUUACGACUCUAAAAGAAGAUGUGGGAUCUUGUUUUUUCGAUGUUAGAAGUCACAUUCUCCCUAUUCAACCGUUGAAUGAGAAAGAAGCUUGGGAUCUCUUUUGCAUGAAAGCAUUCUCAAGUUAUCCUAAUAAAUCUUGUCCAAAAGAGCUUGAACCUUUGGCAAUAGAACUGGUGGAAAAAUGUAAAGGCCUACCUCUUGC
rnacentral:misc_RNA from 1 species